rnacentral:rRNA from 1 species
CACGCAGGUGGCUUGGCAAGUUGGAUGUGAAAGCCCCGGGCUUAACCUGGGAACUGCAUUCAAUACUGCCGAGCUAGAGUAUGGGAGAGGAAAGUGGAAUUCCCGGUGUAGCGGUGAAAUGCGUAGAUAUCGGGAGGAACAUCAGUGGCGAAGGCGACUUUCUGGCCCAAUACUGACACUCAUGUGCGAAAGCGUGGGAGCAAACA